GCAUCUAGCUCGGUUGGUUAGAGCACCGUGAUGAUAACGCCAAGGUUGCAGGUUCAAACCCUGCAUGGGGCAGCUGCA